UAAUACGGAGGGGGCAAGCGUUAUUCGGAUUUACUGGGCGUAAAGCGCACGUAGGCGGCAGAAUAAGUCAAAGGUGAAAGCCCUCGGCUCAACCGAGGAACUGCCUUUGAAACUGUCCUGCUUGAGUCCGGGAGGGGGGAGCGGAAUUCCCAGUGUAGCGGUGAAAUGCGUAGAUACUGGGAGGAACACCAGUGGCGAAGGCGGCUCCCUGGACCGGUACUGACGCUGAGGUGCGAAAGCGUGGGUAGCAAACAGGAUUAGAUACCCUGGUAGUCCACGCCGUAAACGAUGGGCACUAGGUGUAGCGGGUGUCGACCCCUGCUGUGCCGAAGCUAACGCAUUAAGUGCCCCGCCUGGGGAGUACGGUCGCAAGGCUG
rnacentral:rRNA from 1 species